AGGCAUUGCAAAGCUGCACUUCGAGUUUGUAAAGAUGGUCCAGUGUCCUGGAAGACGUGGUAACGGAUGCAGUGCACCUAGAACUUCACGAGAAAAGACGCUGUUGUGGCCUGUGACAACGGGUGGCUCAGCCCUGCUACCGUCCCUAGACACGGGUCCUGGCACGAGCUGAAGACGUCACCGCGAAGCCCAGUCUGGCAGCCUACGUAGCUUAGCCUUCCUUACCCCCUCACCCCUUCGAUUAAUAAAUUUGUUACUCACUGACCCA